AGUCGAGCGGCAGCACAAGGGAGUUUACUUCUUCGCUGACGAGUGGCGGACGGGUGAGUAAUGCCUGGGAAAGUGCCUGAUGGAGGGGGAUAACUACUGGAAACGGUAGCUAAUACCGCAUAACGCCGCAAGACCAAAGAGGGGGACCUUCGGGCCUCUUGCCAUCGGAUGUGCCCAGAUGGGAUUAGCUUGUUGGUGGGGUAACGGCUCACCAAGGCGACGAUCCCUAGCUGGUCUGAGAGGAUGACCAGCCACACUGGAACUGAGACACGGUCCAGACUCCUACGGGAGGCAGCAGUGGGGAAUAUUGCACAAUGGGCGAAAGCCUGAUGCAGCCAUGCCGCGUGUGUGAAGAAGGCCUUCGGGUUGUAAAGUACUUUCAGCGGGGAGGAAGGGAGUAAAGUUAAUACCUUUGCUCAUUGACGUUACCCGCAGAAGAAGCACCGGCUAACUCCGUGCCAGCAGCCGCGGUAAUACGGAGGGUGCAAGCGUUAAUCGGAAUUACUGGGCGUAAAGCGCACGCAGGCGGUUUGUUAAGUCAGAUGUGAAAUCCCCGGGCUCAACCUGGGAACUGCAUCUGAUACUGGCAAGCUUGAGUCUCGUAGAGGGGGGUAGAAUUCCAGGUGUAGCGGUGAAAUGCGUAGAGAUCUGGAGGAAUACCGGUGGCGAAGGCGGCCCCCUGGACGAAGA
rnacentral:rRNA from 1 species